CGGGGUGUAGCGCAGUUGGCAGCGCAUCUGCUUUGGGAGCAGAGGGUCGCUGGUUCAAAUCCAGUCACCCCGA
rnacentral:tRNA from 1 species